GAUGAACGCUGGCGGCGUGCCUAAUACAUGCAAGUCGAACGAACAGACGAGGAGCUUGCUCCUCUGACGUUAGCGGCGGACGGGUGAGUAACACGUGGAUAACCUACCUAUAAGACUGGGAUAACUUCGGGAAACCGGAGCUAAUACCGGAUAAUAUAUUGAACCGCAUGGUUCAAUAGUGAAAGACGGUUUUGCUGUCACUUAUAGAUGGAUCCGCGCCGCAUUAGCUAGUUGGUAAGGUAACGGCUUACCAAGGCAACGAUGCGUAGCCGACCUGAGAGGGUGAUCGGCCACACUGGAACUGAGACACGGUCCAGACUCCUACGGGAGGCAGCAGUAGGGAAUCUUCCGCAAUGGGCGAAAGCCUGACGGAGCAACGCCGCGUGAGUGAUGAAGGUCUUCGGAUCGUAAAACUCUGUUAUUAGGGAAGAACAAAUGUGUAAGUAACUAUGCACGUCUUGACGGUACCUAAUCAGAAAGCCACGGCUAACUACGUG
rnacentral:rRNA from 1 species